UUUGAUGCCUUUAAGCCAACGAGCUAGG
rnacentral:piRNA from 1 species